UACCUGACUCCACUCAAAGUGCCCUUAGCUAAAGGUUUUCUCAAAAGAUUAAUGUUUCUUCUAAAUGUGUUUCAAUUUUAGGUAGCCAUGUAAAUACUAUAUGUAUGCCUCUGUGAUUUAUGUCAAUUUCACUCUAAACAUUUUAAAGCUUGGGAUCCUCCUCAAAACACCAGAGUAUCUUAAUCUAUAACUAACAUGGUCUUAAUUGGUUGGGCAGAAAACAAUCACAAGCAUAAAAUGUAAUUAUCCUACUCAUGUUAGGGGUUAGCAUUUUUGUAUUUUCAGAGACCUAUCCAAAGUUACUCCCCCAAUUCAAAGAAUUUCAGACUCUCUUGCAAUUACUCAUGCACUGUUAAGCUGCAUCUGUAUAUUAGCAUAACACCAGAGAAGCCUAAGCAGUAUGUCUCUCAUAAUAUAACAUAAAAAGG
rnacentral:lncRNA from 1 species